GACGAACGCUGGCGGCGCGCCUAACACAUGCAAGUCGAACGAGCGAGAGGGAGCUUGCUUUCUCGAGCGAGUGGCGAACGGGUGAGUAACGCGUGAGGAACCUGCCUCAAAGAGGGGGACAACAGUUGGAAACGACUGCUAAUACCGCAUAAGCCCACGGGUCGGCAUCGACCAGAGGGAAAAGGAGCAAUCCGCUUUGAGAUGGCCUCGCGUCCGAUUAGCUAGUUGGUGAGGUAACGGCCCACCAAGGCAACGAUCGGUAGCCGGACUGAGAGGUUGAACGGCCACAUUGGGACUGAGACACGGCCCAGACUCCUACGGGAGGCAGCAGUGGGGAAUAUUGCACAAUGGGGGAAACCCUGAUGCAGCGACGCCGCGUGGAGGAAGAAGGUCUUCGGAUUGUAAACUCCUGUUGUUGAGGAAGAUAAUGACGGUACUC
rnacentral:rRNA from 1 species